GUUGUGGUUAAAGCUCGUAGUUGACCUUGGGCCUGGCUGGCCGGUCCGCCUCACCGCGUGUACUGGUCCGGCCGGGCCUUUCCCUCUGUGGAACCUCAUGCCCUUCACUGGGUGUGGCGGGGAAACAGGACUUUUACUUUGAAAAAAUUAGAGUGCUCCAGGCAGGCCUAUGCUCGAAUACAUUAGCAUGGAAUAAUAGAAUAGGACGUGCGGUUCUAUUUUGUUGGUUUCUAGGACCGCCGUAAUGAUUAAUAGGGACAGUCGGGGGCAUCAGUAUUCAAUUGUCAGAGGUGAAAUUCUUAGAUUUAUUGAAGACUAACUACUGCGAAAGCAUUUGCCAAGGAUGUUUUCAUUAAUCAGGAACGAAAGUUAGGGGAUCGAAGACGAUCAGAUACCGUCGUAGUCUUAACCAUAAACUAUGCCGACUAGGGAUCGGACGGUGUUAUUUUUUGACCCGUUCGGCACCUUACGAGAAAUCAAAGUGCUUGGGCUCCAGGGGGAGUAUGGUCGCAAGGCUGAAACUUAAAGAAAUUGACGGAAGGGCACCACCAGGGGUGGAGCCUGCGGCUUAAUUUGACUCAACACGGGGAAACUCACCAGGUCCAGACACAAUGAGGAUUGACAGAUUGAGAGCUCUUUCUUGAUUUUGUGGGUGGUGGUGCAUGGCCGUUCUUAGUUGGUGGAGUGAUUUGUCUGCUUAAUUGCGAUAACGAACGAGACCUUAACCUGCUAACUAGCCCGUAUUGCUUUGGCAGUACGCCGGCUUCUUAGAGGGACUAUCGGCUCAAGCCGAUGGAAGUUUGAGGCAUAACAGGUCUGUGAUGCCCUUAGAUGUCUGGGCCGCACGCGCGCUACACUGAC
rnacentral:rRNA from 1 species